CGGUAAUUCCAGCUCCAAUAGCGUAUACUAAAGUUGUUGCAGUUAAAAAGCUCGUAGUUGGAUUUCUGCGGGGACGGAGCGGCCGGAUGCAACUUGCGUCUCGAGCUAGCGCUUUCCCCGCAUCCUGCCGCGAACCGUGCUACCAUUAGCUUGGUGGCGCUGGGGAUCGGCUCGAUUACUUCGAGAAAAAUAGAGUGUUCAAAGCAGGCCACACGCCUUGAAUAAGUUAGCAUGGAAUAAUGACUAAGGACUUUGGUUCUUUUCGUUGGUGUUCGGGACUGAAGUAAUGAUUGAUAGGGACAGUUGGGGCGGUCUGUAUUCCAAAGCGAGAGGUGAAAUUCUUGGACCUUCGGAAGACAAACAGCUGCGAAAGCGUUCCGCAAGGAUGUUCCCUUUGAUCAAGAACGAAAGUUGGGGGAUCGAAGACGAUCAGAUACCGUCGUAGUUUCAACUAUAAACUAUACCAGCUAGGGAUCGGCCAACGUUUAAUUAUUCGACUUGGUCGGCACCUUAUGAGAAAUCAAAGCAUCUGGGUUCCGGGGGGAGUAUGGUCGCAAGGCUGAAACUUAAAGGAAUUGACGGAAGGGCACCACCAGGCGUGGAGCCUGUGGCUUAAUUUGACUCAACACGGGAAAACUUACCAGGUCCAGACAUAGGAAGGAUUGACAGAUUGAUAGCUCUUUCUUGAUUCUGUGGGUGGUGGUGCAUGGCCGUUUUUAGUCGGUGAAGUGAUUUGUCUGCUUAAUUGCGUUAACGGACGAGACCCCAGCCUGCUAAAUAGCGCGGCCGAGCUUUGCUCGGUACGAGCUUCUUAGAGGGACCAUGAUGCGCGAUAGCACAAGGAAGUUUGGGGCAACAACAGGUCUGUGAUGCCCUUAGAUGUUCUGGGCCGCACACGGGCUACACUGGCGCCUGCAACGAGCAUAUCAGCUGGCCCGAGAGGGUCUUGGCUAAUCUUUGGAACCGGCGCCGUGCUUGGGAUUGACCAUUGCAAUUGUUGGUCAUGCAACGAGGAAUGCCUUGUAAACGCGAGUCAUCAGCUCGCAUUGAAUACGUCCCUGCCCCUUGUACACACCGCCC
rnacentral:rRNA from 1 species